AUACGAACGAGACUCUAUCCUACUAAGCGGCGAGAGGCUAUUAGACGGCUGGAUCUUGACUCGAAGCGAGUGUUUACGGAUUUGACACGCGCGUGUUUCGCGCGGGUAUGGGGGUGUACAGAGGCGUAAAUGUGUGGUGCGUGUUCGCGCGCGCUAUAUGUUUUGCCCUGCUGCUUCUUCCUUUCUCGCGCGUGAGUGUGCGCAUCUUUUCCAGCUCGCAAGUCCGCCGUGGCUGCGCGUGAGUUCGGGAUACGCGUGUGUGCUGUGCGAACGUGCGCGCCUUCGUGCGCGCGCUAAGCGCUCGCGCUCGCUACUCGCUCUUGCGCGUAGACCAACGUUGUUUCUUCUUAGAGGUAUUGGCGACUCUACAUAAGUCGUACGAGAGAGAGAGCAAUAACAGGUCUGUGAUGCCCUUAGAUGCCCUGGGCCGCACGCGAGCUACAAUGCCGGGUACAGCGGGUAUAACUUCCUUCUCCGAGAGGAGCGGGUAACCCUCUGAAAGCCCUUCCGAUACGUAUAUACUCUCACGUUAUACGCAUCUCGGCUCGCUUGGGCCUGGGGCUUGCAACUAUCUCCCACAAACGAGGAAUGCCUUGUAUUGACAGGUCACUGAGCUUGUAGCGACUCAGUCCCUGCCCUUUGUACACACCGCCCGUCGCUACUACCGAUUGAGUGUAUCAGUGAGAUUCUUGGACUGGCGAACCAUUUCCCUAUCUGCCUUCGUGGCAGUCCUGGGGAGACGGCGAACGACGGGAAGAGACUCGAACUGAUGCACUUAGAGGAAGUAAAA
rnacentral:rRNA from 1 species